rnacentral:rRNA from 1 species
UAUAUUCAUAAGCGGAGGAAAAGAAAAUUAAACCGAGGAUUUCCUAGUAACUGCGAGUGAAGCGGGAAAAGCUCAAAUUUCGAAUCUGGCGGUCCUCGGCCGUCCGAGUUGUAAUCUAGAGAAGCGUCUUCCGCGCCGGACCGUGUACAAGUCUCCUGGAAGGGAGCAUCGUAGAGGGUGACAAUCCCGUCUCUGACACGGACUUCCCGGUGCUGUGUGAUGCGCUCUCGACGAGUCGAGUUGUUUGGGAAUGCAGCUCAAAUCGGGUGGUAAACUCCAUCUAAAGCUAAAUACAGGCGAGAGACCGAUAGCGAACAAGUACCGUGAGGGAAAGAUGAAAAGAACUUUGGAAAGAGAGUUAAACAGUACGUGAAAUUGCUGGAAGGGAAACGCUUGACGUCAGUCGCGUCGUCCGAGGAUCAACCUUGCUUCUCGCUGGGCGUAUUUCUCGGUCGACGGGUCAGCAUCGAUUUCGGCCGUCGUAGAAGGGCGAGUGCGAACGUGGCACUCUUCGGAGUGUGUUAUAGCCUCUCGUAUGGAUGCGACGGCCGGGAUCGAGGAACUCGGCACGACCCCUCGAGGGUUCGGGGCCCUAGGUCCACGCAGCGUGCCCAGGAUGCUGGCAUAAUGGCUUUAAGCGACCCGUCUUGAAACACGGACCAAGGAGUCUAACGUGCCUGCGAGUGUUUGGGUGGAAAACCCGAGCGCGCAACGAAAGUGAAAGUCGAGACGUCCGUCGUGGAGGGCACCGACGCCCGGACCGGAGCCUUUGGCGAUGGAUCUGCGGUAGAGCAUGUAUGUUGGGACCCGAAAGAUGGUGAACUAUGCCUGAAUAGGGCGAAGCCAGAGGAAACUCUGUG